rnacentral:tRNA from 1 species
UGCCAGGUAGUGAAAUGGCAUCACUGAUGACUCUGAAUCAUCCGUUCCAAGUUCGAAUCUUGGCCUGGCAACAA